rnacentral:rRNA from 1 species
UACGUAGGGGGCAAGCGUUGUCCGGAUUUAUUGGGCGUAAAGAGCGUGUAGGCGGCUAGAUAGGUCCGUUGUGAAAACUCGAGGCUCAACCUCGAGACGUCGAUGGAAACCAUCUGGCUAGAGUCCGGAAGAGGAGAGUGGAAUUCCUGGUGUAGCGGUGAAAUGCGCAGAUAUCAGGAAGAACACCCGUGGCGAAGGCGGCUCUCUGGUACGUGACUGACGCUGAGACGCGAAAGCUAGGGGAGCAAACGGG